GACUUGUUAGCUCAGUCGGUAGAGCAACUGACUUUUAAUCAGUGGGUCGCAGGUUCGAUUCCUGCACAGGUCA
rnacentral:tRNA from 1 species